rnacentral:tRNA from 1 species
GACCUCUUAGUAUAAUCGGUCAGUACUCCAACCCUUCACGUUGGAAGAGCCAGUUCGAGUCUGGUAGAGGUUA